rnacentral:rRNA from 1 species
UACGUAGGGUGCGAGCGUUAAUCGGAAUUACUGGGCGUAAAGCGUGCGCAGGCGGUUGAUUAAGUCUGAUGUGAAAGCCCCGGGCUCAACCUGGGAAUGGCAUUGGAAACUGGUCAGCUGGAGUGUGGCAGAGGGGGGUGGAAUUCCGCGUGUAGCAGUGAAAUGCGUAGAGAUGCGGAGGAACACCGAUGGCGAAGGCAGCCCCCUGGGCCAACACUGACGCUCAGGCACGAAAGCGUGGGGAGCAAACAGG